UACGUAGGGUGCAAGCGUUGUCCGGAAUUAUUGGGCGUAAAGAGCUCGUAGGCGGUCUGUCGCGUCGGCUGUGAAAUCCCGAGGCUCAACCUCGGGUCUGCAGUCGAUACGGGCAAACUAGAGUAUUGCAGGGGAGACUGGAAUUCCUGGUGUAGCGGUGAAAUGCGCAGAUAUCAGGAGGAACACCGGUGGCGAAGGCGGGUCUCUGGGCAAUAACUGACGCUGAGGCGCGAAAGCCAGGGGAGCGAAUGGG
rnacentral:rRNA from 1 species